rnacentral:rRNA from 1 species
AUACGGAGGGUGCAAGCGUUACUCGGAAUCACUGGGCGUAAAGCGCGCGCAGGCGGCUAUUUAAGUUGGAUGUGAAAGCCUACGGCUCAACCGUAGAACUGCAUCCAAAACUAUUUAGCUAGAGUGUGGGAGAGGAAGAUGGAAUUAGUUGUGUAGGGGUAAAAUCCGUAGAGAUAACUAGGAAUACCAAAAGCGAAGGCAAUCUUCUGGAACACUACUGACGCCGAGGCGCGAAAGCGUGGGGAGCAAACAGGAUUAGAUACCCUAGUAGUCC